rnacentral:rRNA from 1 species
CUAAGGCCGAUGGCGACCGGCGCACGGGUGAGUAACACGUAUCCAACCUGCCGAUAACUCGGGGAUAGCCUUUCGAAAGAAAGAUUAAUACCCGAUGGCAUAAUAGAACCGCAUGGUUUGAUUAUUAAAGAAUUUCGGUUAUCGAUGGGGAUGCGUUCCAUUAGGCAGUUGGUGGGGUAACGGCCCACCAAGCCUUCGAUGGAUAGGGGUUCUGAGAGGAAGGUCCUCCACAUUGGAACUGAGACACGGUCCAAACUCCUACGGGAGGCAGCAUG